rnacentral:rRNA from 1 species
UUGGCUCAUUACAACAGCCGUUGUUUCUUGGAUCUUACUUUACUUGGAUAACUGUGGUAAUUCUAGAGCUAAUACAUGCAACUAAGCUCCGACCUCAGGGAAGGAGCGCAUUUAUUAGACCAAGACCAAUCAGACUCGUCUGAAACUUGGUGACUCUGAAUAACUUUGCUGAUCACACGGUCCUAGCACCGGUGACAUAUCUUUCAAGUGUCUGCCCUAUCAACUUUCGAUGGUAGUUUAUGUGCCUACCAUGGUUGUAACGGGUAACGGAA